CCCUUAGAUGUCUUGGGCUGCACGCGCGCUACGCUGAUGUGUCCAGUAAGCACCUAACCUCUUCCGAAAGGAACGGGUAACCUUUGCAAAGCACAUCGUGAUGGGGAUAGAUUAUUGCAAUUAUUAGUCUUGAACGAGGAAUUCCUAGUAAGCACAAGUCAUCAGCUUGUGUUGAUUACGUCCCUGCCCUUUGUACACACCGCCCGUCGCUCCUACCGAUUGAAUGUUCCGGUGAGCUCUUCGGACUGCGCGGUCUGCAGUUUCUGCGUUCCGUGCGGAAAGUUGCGCAAACCUUAACAUUUAGAGGAAGGAGAAGUCGUAACA
rnacentral:rRNA from 1 species